rfam:Picea glauca, whole genome shotgun sequence.
ACAUGCCUACAACAUAGCGUAAAUGCACCAGAUCCCAUUAUAACUCCGCAGUUAAGCAUGGUCGGGAUAGAGUAGUGCUGGGAUGGGUGACCACCUUGGAAGUCCUAGUGUUUUACAUGCC